CGCAAGAAGAAGAAGAUUCAGAAAAAUCAAAAAAUAAUGAAGAAGAUGAGGACUUGACAUUAAUCACUAGAAAAUUUAGAUGCUUUAUGAGGAAAAGAAGACAAGGGACCAAGAGAAGACCACCAGUUAAGGGGGAGUCGAGUAAAGAAAAGAAAAAAGAGCAGCCUGUUAUCUGUUAUGAAUGCAAAAAGUCGGGCCACUUUAGAUCGAACUGUUCUUAGCUCAAGAAAGGUCAGAAG
rnacentral:lncRNA from 1 species